UCAUGGACAGGCUCACGCCCAGGAGUCUGAGUAGAACAGAGAGUUUGCCUUGAGCUGAUAGGGGGCCACAUGUGGGGACACCUGGUCUAGCCCUGAGGCAGUGGAGAGUGGCUGGAGCAGUGGGGAGGCAGAAGUGGUCUCUGAUGGGCUCUGCUCACCUCAUACAAUGGCAUGUCUGUGUCUGGACGCUAAGGGGCACUCAAGGCCUGUUCUGAGGGGUCACGGUAGAUCAGAGAUGAGAACUGCCACCUGCCACUGCCUGUGCCCUCUGCUCAGGGCUCACAUCUGUGACCUCCCCACCCGCUGCCCUGAAAUUGCCCCUACCCUGCCCAUCCCCCUGACAUCCUCAGAAAGAGGCACCUAAAGAAGUCAAUGAGGAGUCAGAAAACAGGGGGGUUGCAUUUGCAUGGUUGGGCCCUCCUCUUCUCAACAGUUGAAAAGGUGAAGGGAGAGGUUAACGGAGGCUCUGCUCAGCUGUAAGGCAACAGAAGGCAGGAUCGGUGCUGACCUCCGCCAUGGCCUGGUCCCCUCUCCUCCUCACCCUCCUUGCUCAUUGCACAGGGAUUUGGGCUCAGUCGGGGCCGAAUCAACCAUCCUCAGUGUCUGGGGCCCUGGGCCAGAGGGUCACUAUCUCCUGCACAGGAGUUGGUAGUU